rnacentral:tRNA from 1 species
GCCUUUGUGGUGUAGUGGUCAGCACACUCAGCGCGUAUUCGAGAGGUCCGUGGUUCGAGUCCCGGCGAGGGCA